rnacentral:rRNA from 1 species
AGAGUUUGAUCCUGGCUCAGGACGAACGCUGGCGGCGUGCUUAACACAUGCAAGUCGAACGGAAAGGCCCUGCUUUUGUGGGGUGCUCGAGUGGCGAACGGGUAAGUAACACGUGAGUAACCUGCCCUUGACUUUGGGAUAACUUCAGGAAACUGGGGCUAAUACCGGAUAGGAGCUCCUGCUGCAUGGUGGGGGUUGGAAAGUUUCGGCGGUUGGGGAUGGACUCGCGGCUUAUCAGCUUGUUGGUGGGGUAGUGGCUUACCAAGGGCUUUGACGGGUAGCCGGCCUGAGAGGGUGACCGGCCACAUUGGGACUGAGAUACGGCCCAGACUCCUACGGGAGGCAGCAGUGGGGAAUAUUGCACAAUGGGCGGAAGCCUGAUGCAGCAACGCCGCGUGCGGGAUGACGGCCUUCGGGUUGUAAACCGCUUUCGCCUGUGACGAAGCGUGAGUGACGGUAAUGGGUAAAGAAGCACCGGCUAACUACGUGCCAGCAGCCGCGGUGAUACGUAGGGUGCGAGCGUUGUCCGGAUUUAUUGGGCGUAAAGGGCUCGUAGGUGGUUCAUCGCGUCGGAAGUGUAAUCUUGGGGCUUAACCCUGAGCGUGCUUUCGAUACGGGUUGACUUGAGGAAGGUAGGGGAGAAUGGAAUUCCUGGUGGAGCGGUGGAAUGCGCAGAUAUCAGGAGGAACACCAGUGGCGAAGGCGGUUCUCUGGGCCUUUCCUGACGCUGAGGAGCGAAAGCGUGGGGAGCGAACAGGCUUAGAUACCCUGGUAGUCCACGCUGUAAACGGUGGGUACUAGGUGUGGGGUCCAUUCCACGGGUUCCGUGCCGUAGCUAACGCUUUAAGUACCCCGCCUGGGGAGUACGGCCGCAAGGCUAAAACUCAAAGGAAUUGACGGGGCCCCGCACAAGCGGCGGAGCAUGCGGAUUAAUUCGAUGCAACGCGUAGAACCUUACCUGGGUUUGACAUGGAUCGGGAGCGCUCAGAGAUGGGUGUGCCUCUUUUGGGGUCGGUUCACAGGUGGUGCAUGGCUGUCGUCAGCUCGUGUCGUGAGAUGUUGGGUUAAGUCCCGCAACGAGCGCAACCCUUGUUCACUGUUGCCAGCACGUUAUGGUGGGGACUCAGUGGAGACCGCCGGGGUCAACUCGGAGGAAGGUGGGGAUGACGUCAAGUCAUCAUGCCCCUUAUGUCCAGGGCUUCACGCAUGCUACAAUGGCUGGUACAGAGAGUGGCGAGCCUGUGAGGGUGAGCGAAUCUCGGAAAGCCGGUCUCAGUUCGGAUUGGGGUCUGCAACUCGACCUCAUGAAGUCGGAGUCGCUAGUAAUCGCAGAUCAGCAACGCUGCGGUGAAUAAGUUCCCGGGGCUUGCACA